rnacentral:tRNA from 1 species
UGUCCAGGGGCGGGAAUCGAACCCACAACCUUCCGCUUACCGGGCAGAUGCCAUGUCCACUAGGCUACCAUGGAC